CAUUAAGUGGCUGAUAAUAAGCCCUGGUCUCUUAAACCAAGUCAUAGUAAUAUACUCUUAAUG
rnacentral:tRNA from 1 species